rnacentral:rRNA from 1 species
GGGAGCCAGUGGAAAGGUGGUGAGCCGGGCAAGCUUCCAAAACACAGCAUGUUUGCUUUUUUGACAUC